CACCACUCAGUAGACGGAGAAAGGGUAUAACAGGACGCUCUUCCGCCCAUGCGGAAUAAUCGCUUUCUUUCCAGAAGGCUCGGGUGCAGACGAAGACGCAGCUUGGUGAGUUCGCACGCGGCGUUUACUGAUGGCACGAGAAAGCCUUCACGCUUCAGGGAAAUCCCGACACGCCCUGGAUAGGGCUGCCACGCCAGCCUCGCACAAACCCUCACGCACUCACACCCCUGCGCAUCCCCUCACUUCCGACACCGCCCGAGUCAUGGAGGGAAACAGAAACAAGGCUAACACGGAAUUAAGGACUGAAGUUGCCAUUGUUGAAUUUGGGAGCACUGACCUGUGAUCAGGACACACAAGUGGCAGUGAAUAUGUUAAUAGUUCUAUCAUACACUUUCUGUCAAACUGUCAAAGUAGUGUGUUGCUUAUUUAUGGCCCUUUGUGCUUCUCAGGCCGAAGUUUCUGUAGGUACACUUAAUUUAUGACCAAGGGUGGGGGUAACCCUAAUGACAGUAUCAGUGGGUCAAUCUGGCUCCUGUGUCUGGGCUGUGGUGGAGAGGGUUGUGUGGGGGAGUAGACCCCCUCCCAAAAAAGGUGUUUAUGUUAGAGUCUGGUUUUUAGGGGGUGAAAUACGUCUUAAAAGCAUAUCAAUGUUUAAUAUUGGGCAUGUGUUUGUGUUACUGUGUGGGGUUAUUUCGUUUGUGUAAACACAUUAGCUGCAUUUACAUGGACAACUCCACUCUUAAUCCGAUUAAGACCAUACUCUAAUUAAGAAACUACCAUGUAAACAGCAAUUUUUACUUACCUUAAUCUAAUUAAGGUCGUAAUCGAAGUAAGCAAUAAUCUAAUUAAGACAGGU